GUAGGUGGCAAGCGUUGUCCGGAAUUAUUGGGCGUAAAGCGCGCGCAGGCGGUCCUUUAAGUCUAAUGUGAAAGCCCACGGCUCAACCGUGGAGGGUCAUUGGAAACUGGGGGACUUGAGUACAGAAGAGGAAAGCGGAAUUCCAAGUGUAGCGGUGAAAUGCGUAGAGAUUUGGAGGAACACCAGUGGCGAAGGCGGCUUUCUGGUCUGUAACUGACGCUGAGGCGCGAAAGCGUGGGGAGCAAACAGGAUUAGAUACCCUGGUAGUCCACGCCGUAAACGAUGAGUGCUAAGUGUUAGGGGGUUUCCCGCCCCCUUAGUGCUGCAGCUAACGCAUUAAGCACUCCGCCUGGGGAGUACGGCCGCAAGGCUG
rnacentral:rRNA from 1 species